rnacentral:rRNA from 1 species
AGCUCCAAUAGCGUAUAUUAAAGUUGCUGCAGUUAAAAAGCUCGUAGUUGCAUUUCCGAGGCAAGGGAUUAGUCCGACCUUUGGUGGGUAUUUAAUCCUCUUGCCUCGUCCUUGAGUGGUGCUUCUUGGUAUUAAGUUAUCGAGGAGAUAGCCGCUCAUCGUUUACUGUGAGAAAAUUAGAGUGUUCAAAGCAGGCUUAUGCCGUUGAAUAUAUUAGCAUGGAAUAAUAAGAUAGGACCUCGGUACUAUUUUGUUGGUUUGAGAACCAAGGUAAUGAUGAAUAGGGACAGUUGGGGGUAUUCGUAUUCAGUUGUCAGAGGUGAAAUUCUUAGAUUUACUGAAGACGAACUACUGCGAAAGCAUUUGCCAAGGAUGUUUUCA